UACGAUAUCAAUGGGCGAUACAUGCAG
rnacentral:sRNA from 1 species